GGCGCGAUAGCAAAGUGGCCAUGCGGUAGCCUGCAAAGCUACUCACACCGGUUCAAUUCCGGUUCGCGCUU
rnacentral:tRNA from 1 species